GACGAACGCUGGCGGCGUGCCUACUACAUGCAAGUCGAGCGAGGCGGGGGAUGGGUGAGUAACGCGUGGGUAACCUGCCCUUCAGUCUGAGAUACCAUUUGGAAACAGAUCCUAAUACCGGAUGCUAAAUGAUGGAACUGCGAUGCAUUAGCUAGUUGGUAAGGUAACGGCUUACCAAGGAGAUGAUGCAGAGCCGAGUUGAGAGACGGAUCGGCCACAUUGGGACUGAGACACGGCCCAAACUCCUACGUGAGGCAGCAGUAGGGAAUCUUCCACAAUGGACGAAAGUCUGAUGGAGCAACGCCGCGUGAGUGAAGAAGGUUUUCGGAUCGUAAAGCUCUGUUGUUGGUGAAGCGGUAAUCAACCAGAAAGUCACGGCUAACUACGUGCCAGCAGCCGCGGUAAUAC
rnacentral:rRNA from 1 species